CCCCCCUCUUUCUUGAUUUUAUCAUAUCAAGAAUCCCCUCUCUCUCAUACUUUUCAUUGCUCUCUCAACAACUAGAAGAAAAAGGAUAGUUAAUUUGUCAUGGCAAAUCUUCCCACCAAGGCCUCCUUCUUACAUUUUCUUCUUGCAUUCUUUCUCACUUUAUCAGGUUCCGGUUUCAUACAAGAAGCUCAAUCACUAGGAAUAAACUACGGCCAAGUAGGGAACAACCUCCCGAAGCCGCAGAAGGUUCUCGAACUCCUCCGCUCCCUCAAGCUAAACAAAGCCCGAAUCUACGACACCAACCCGCAAAUCCUCACCUCAUUCGCCAACUCCAACGUGGAGUUAAUCGUAACCGUCGAAAACGACAUGCUAGCCACAUUAUCCGACCCGAACCAAGCCCUCCAGUGGGUCCAAACCCGCAUCAAACCCUUCUUCCCGACGACGAAAAUCACAGAGAUCGCCGUCGGGAAUGAGGUCUACACAGGCGAGGGCACCGCCCUCCUGACCCAACUCGUCCCGGCCAUGGUCAGCAUCCACGCCGCCCUCGCCCGCCUAGGCCUUGACCGCUCGAUUAAAGUCUCCACCCCCAACAACCUCGCGGUUCUCGAGGAAUCCUACCCGCCCUCGGCGGGCAGGUUCCGCCCUGAAGUGGCCGCCAUAAUGCCGCAGUUCCUGCGGUUUCUGGCGGCCACCAGGGCGCCUUUCUGGAUAAACGCGUACCCGUACUUUGCGUACGAGGACAGCCCGGACAAGAUCCGGAUCGACUACGUGCUGCUCAACCCGAACCCGGGCAUGGUCGACCCGAACACCGGCUUGCAUUACGACAACAUGCUGUACGCGCAGGUGGACGCGGUGAUUUUCGCGAUGGCGAGGCUGGGGUUCGGGGGGAUCGAGGUCCGGGUGUCCGAGACGGGGUGGCCGUCGCGGGGGGACGUAAAUGAGGUGGGCGCCACUUUCCAGAAUGCGGCGGUGUAUAAUCGGAAUAUUCUGCGGAGGCAGCAGCGGAAUGAGGGGACGCCGCUAAGGCCGAAUGCCGGGCUGGAGAUAUAUGUGUUUGCUUUGUUUAACGAGGAUAUGAAGCCCGGCCCGACUUCCGAGAGGAAUUACGGGCUUUUCCAGCCCGAUGGGACGAUGGCCUACAAUGUAGGACUAUCCCAAUUAUCUACAACUUCCUCUGCCUCUGCCUCUGCUUCUGCGUCCACUUCCACCUCGACCUCUACCUCUUCCUCUACGUCAGCAUCAAUCUUUUUAACUUCCGCCGCAACCAAGUGAACUUUAAUUAUGAUCGAUGCACUAUACAUCCGACGGCAACAAAAAGAUGCAUGAAUUGUACGGAUGUGGCCAUGGUGAAUAUUUUACAGCAAGUUGCAACUUUAUAUGAUAAAGUUAACCAGAUAGGAUAUUUGAGCUUGCCGUAUUCAAUAUUCUUCUAUGUUAUGGGAUACGAAGUUUUUAUGAGAAGACAUUGCUAAAACACAAGGAGGGUGUUCAUGUAAAUACAACUAAGAUUGCUGGAGGAAAUAGGAUCUCUGUCUUUUCACAUUUUUGGCAUAUUAGAGAUGGGAUUCAAGAUUCAAGAAUUCUUUUGUUUCUGAUGCUAAAGACAUAUAUGAAUGACCAUUCAUCAUUUAUUGAUAUAUGUAUGUGUAUGUGCAAGAUUCUUCUACUAGCUAGUGACUCUUAAAUUUAAAUCAA